GCAGAAGCCAGGUGCAGGACCUGGGGCAGGAGCAGCACUGGGGCAGGAGCUGGGGCAGGAGCCGUGCUGGUGCAGAAGCCAGGUACAGGACCUGGGGCAGGAGCAGCACUGGGGCAGGAGCUGGGGCAGGAGCCGUGCUGGUGCAGAAGCCAGGUGCAGGACCUGGGGCAGGACCUAGGGCAGGAGCAGCGCUGGUGCAGGACCUGGUGCAGCAGCAGCGCUGUCUGGGCCUCCCUCUCACCAAGAAACAGUAUGAUUCUGCCCAGGAGGAAACCGAGGCGGACAAGCACCUCUGAGUUCCAGCCACCAGGAAGGCUCUUGAAUAAGAAUUGACCUCCCCCCCCUCCCCUUCCCGCUCUGCAGGAGGGUGUCCCAGAUCCAAACCAAGAUCCCCAGAAAUUCACUCAACAAACACUUGCCACAAGAGGAGGUGAGGCCGGCUGGCCCCGUUGAUUCCUCGCCCCUGCUGCCCGGAGCCUCAUCCCUGCGCAGUCAGCGAUGCUGCUCUUGCUCGGCGUCCCGGGCCCUGCACACCUCAUCAGUCGCAGAGAUGCCGGAGCUUAAUUAAGCUUGUAAAGCUUUCUGAUUCUCUCAGACGAAAGGUGGCCCACCAGACUCCAACUCCAAUAAAAAAUGGAUGCUUUAACUCCAAAUGAAAAUAUAUUCCUUCGCUGCUUUUUAAAAUCCAUUUACACUGAAAUGAUGGCCAGCAGAUGACCUCUAACACCUGGGGGGAUGAUGCCAGAGAUGAUGAGGACGACGGCAAUGGCGUAACCUCGUGUUUGUUGAACCUGCCCCACUCCUCCGAACUUCAGUUCAUCUUUAUCCAGAUGCCUAUUCCACGGUUUGGGAGGGGCAGGGGCUGUCCCUCUAUUUCUGAGGGUCCCCAGGGCUUUGAUCCUCAAGCUUGUCCCUCUGCAUCUGCUUCUGGCCUCCCUACUUGUCGCCUUGGCUCUGGCACACAGUCACCCGGCCGCGAAGGUCCGCAUCUGAAUCACUCCACCUGCCCCAAAUGCACUUGGAGCAACUGAACAAAUUUGGACACUUUGCUGACAAUUUGCAGGGCUCCCCAAACUGGGGGGUGGAGGGUGUCACAUCGCUGUGCAAGACUGUCAUCCAUCUGGCUGUCCUUCCCACCUCCUCUGUCCCCCUCUGCCUUUUGUGGAGAAACAGGCAGAUUCGUGUGACCCAGGGCCACUCCCGUCCAGGCGCUCUCUCGGGAGCUCAGCUUCCAGAAGGUCAAGGUUUCCCUUGCAAUCAAGAUGGACAAGGGAUUCCGGUGGACACAGCAUCUCCAGGGUACUUCCGACCUGUAAGGCAGCAGCAUGCUGAGAGCUUUCUGGGCACGUCAGCUUCAAGGCCCGCCCCAUCCUGGCCCAGAGUUGUUAUUCCCCAUUUCACUGAUGGGAAAACCACCGGAGCAUUGUGACAGAUUUCAUUUAUUUAUUCGAUAGAACAAGUGGGGGGAGCACAGAGAGAGAGGGAGAAGCAGACUCCCCACUGAGCAGGGAGCCCGACGACGCGGGGCUCAACCCCAGGACCCCGGGAUCGUGACCUGAGCUGAAGGCAGAUGCUUAACCGACUGAGCCACCUGGGCGCCCCUGGAUUAUUUUCUAAGUGACUUUUUUGAGGUGAGGAGGGAAAUCCUAAAACCACCCAGAGUUGGCAAAGAAGAAAUAGACACGAAAAUGUGCUCAUGGUUCUCUGCUCCCAGGCACGGUACCCUUGCUCCCCCGGGGCAAAGCCAAGCCAACAGGGUGCUUGACCUUGCCAUCUUUCCCCACCAAGAGGGUUAGGGCUCCUGACAGUGCUGCGUGCCCCUUAGGAUCAGUGAGGGAGCUGGAGCAAAUAGAAGUCCCUCCGCCUUGGUUUUCUCAUCUGCCAAAUGGGAUGUUAAUGCUUCCCUCUUGGGGGUACCGUGAGAAUUAGAUUAUGGGAGCAGGUAAAACAGAGUAGGUGAAAAGUACCGAUAGGGUUCCUGGCACGUGGUAGGUAUUCAGUGAGCGUUACAGGCAGCACACCCAGCUGACCACACACCCAGCUGCAGAGACAGGUCUGGGAGGACACAUCUAAGCUGCCAGCAGUGUUACUCCUCGAGGAGGUGUGUGUGGUGGGGAGGAGGCACUUGGACCCUUCACUGUCUACAUUUUUACUUUCUAUGUCCUGGAUAUUGGGAGGAAGCAUGCUGUGUGAGUAUUGAUGGGUGUGUGCGGAGGGUCAAGAUAGAGAAUAACACCAAAUGGGACACUGGUACGCCUCCCGUCUCUGUGUGAUUGUAACACCUGUACCUGCUAUGCUUGGAUCAGUUGAGGGGCCUUGGGUGGCCAGCAACAGAAACUGGUGAAGUCAGGAAGCGAAAACGCGAUUUGGUGGAAGGACAUUGGGCGGAGUCACCAGUGGAAGAACUGGGACCUGGGCACUGGGAAGCAGAGGAGCUAAGGGGACCUGGCUAGGUAAGCAGGAGGACCUUCUCUCAGAGGUACGCAUGCAAGAUGUGUCAGCCCCUGGCACUGCCCAUUCACACUUUUACAGUCCAGGCACGGCGAAUCCGAUUGGCCCAGUUUGGAACAAAGUUUCCACAUUGACUCAUCUCCCUUUUACCGUGGGACAGGGCAGAUGGUCUAUAAAAGGGAGUGCUUCCGGGCUGGACCAUCACCAUCUACUCACUUCUGUAUUGUUUGGUUUUUGCCAAAUUAUCACCUUGUGUUACUCUUUUUUUUUUUUUUUUAAGAUUUUUUAUUUAUGGAAGAGAGAUGGGCAGCCCAGCGGGGCUCAGCGGUUUAGCGCCGCCUUUGGCCCAGGGUGUGAUCCUGGAGACCUGGGAUCGAGUCCCACAUCAGGCUCCCUGCAUGGAGCCUGCUCCUCCCUCUGCCUGUAUCUCUGCCUCUCAUUCUCUCUCUGUGUCUCAUGAAUAAAUAAAUAAAAUCUUAAAAAAAAAAGUCUUUGAAAGAGAGAGAGAAUGCAAGUGAGCAGGGGGAGGGGCAAAGGGAGAGGGAGAGGGAGAGAGAGAAUCUCAAGCAGACUCCAAGCCCAGCGCAAAGCCUGAUGUGGGGCUCGGUCCCACAACCCUGAGACCAUGACCUGAGCCGAAACCAAGAGUCCAUCACUUAACUUACUGAGCCACCCAGACACCCCUACUUUUUAAAUGAUAAUGAGAAAACUAACAAUUAAUUAAGUGGAGUUAUGCUGUACAGUCUCAACAGGACGUGUUUUAUGCAUCUUUUAUCGGGAACCAAUAACAAUAAAACCAAGCAGCAUGAUUCAUCAUUCACGGGCCUAGUGACACAUCACAGGUGACACAUCCGCCUUGGGUCUGAAUGAAUGUUGAUUGUGGUGGCAAACACACCCACACAACGACAACAGUAUUUGUCUUUUUGACUCUCACGAUUAGCAGGUCCCAAGUGUGUAUAGCGAUGCCUCUCAGAUUAGGAAGGGAGUUUGAGACCUUUAUUAUUAGGGCAAAGAAGAGGGAUAGGACAUCUGUGAUUGUUCUAUCAGUAGCUGUUGUUUUAUGGUGGCCGGAAGGCAGGGACCAUGAAGCACAUGGAAGGCAUGCAGGAUAUAUUCCGUGUGUGUGGAGGGGAGAGAGAGAGGGAGGGAGGAAGCAUUUCAUUGCCCCAGGGUAGGAUGAUUUAGCCAGUGUUGUAAGGCAAGCUCAGAUCCAGCCUGCAUUUUCUAUGCUGACCAUCUGUGUUUCCCAGGAAAGCGGCGGCCAGCCAGGGCCUGAGAGCUUUAGGAAAAAGUGAGAAGCAGGAGGACAGCCAGUCCAGGAGGGGCUGGAGGGAUCUUUGUGUCCUUGCGAUGCCUCCUGGCAACACCAGCAGCACGGAGGCCUGCCUUGGCUGCCUGCCCCCUGUGAGCCCCCUUGGGAUCCUUUUCAGGGUUGGAAAAUCCUCUCCCCUGCCACCCACCUGUCCCUUGUGACUUUUUUUCCCCUAGGGAUAGGUGUUGUUGGGGUUGAUGACCAGAAACUACUCAUCUGAAGGCAGAAGCAUCGUCUCUAAAAAACCACAGGUGGACCAGGAACGAGUCCUGCCUCCUGCAUCUGGCUGUGCUGGGCAGCUCCCCUACCCUAACAAGCCCUUUUCGGGGAGGGGGGGGAUAUGUCUAUAAACAGGGAAGGCAGGGUUCGUAAGCUUCAGGGUCCCCCUCAAGCUGGCACGGUUCCUAAAUGGUAGCGCUGCAUUGAAACAUGGGCCAGCGUGUCACCUGGUCACCGGGCCCUCCCAGCUUCUCCACGUUGGGAAGCCAGCUCAGAAGGACCCACGGCCCAGCUCCGCCGCCCGCCCCCGCUGCUCUAGGACCUGGAUGCAGAACUGAAAGCAGUCUCAGCCCUACCGACCGCAAAUUGGGAAUUCUAAUGCAACAUCUUCUCCCCAAGCCAGCGCUGUAAUAACACAAUUUUAAGCCAAGCCUUGGCGUCUAUGUUUUCGGGGGGUGGUUCCAUGAACUUGCCAGGAGCUCCUACCCAGCCAUGGGAGCCCUGUGAAGAGCCCUCCUUCUAAGGCCCCCCACUGGAAGUCGUCUUUCCUUGUCGGCAGCUUCAGAUGCGGGGUGUUCUAACCUCUGAAGUUGUUGGAAUAGGACCAUUAGACCGAACAGUUCUAUUGGAAUUAAAAAUAUUGUGAAUUUUGUGUUAACUGCCUCUGGCCAUAACUGGAAUAGAAAUGACAUUGCUUCAGACGCUACCGUGCACUAAUUAAACCAGCAGAGAAUGAAGCAACAGAAAUACAACGGCAACAAAAAUGGGAGUUGUGGGCUUCAGAACACUCCCCCAGCAGGGCCAUUGAAUUUAAAUUUCCAUUAUUUCGAGUGAAUAUGGCCCUAAGGAACCACGAAAGGAUUUUUUUUUUUUUUAUAUGAUUUUAGGGCAAGUCCCUCUUGCAGUGUAGUCACGUUAGUAAAGCUAUAUACUGUCUUUGUUUGGGGGGAAAAAAAGUUUAAAAAAUAUAUAUACCUAGGAAAGAGUCCAGAAGGAUACAUACCUAACUGUUAUCAGCGGUAGCCUUGGGGAAAGGGAAUUUGAAGAGAAAGAACUUUCCUCUUUUUCUUUUAAAACUGUUUUUAUAUAUUCCUGACGUGCUUAAAUUCAUUAUACUCAGCAUGCAUUUUUGAGCAGACUGGAAUGACCAAGGGAGUGCUUUAGAGCGAAUGAUUCAUGCUUCAUGGCACCAGAUUGUCAAAAGACUUCUUAACAGGUGUCCAUUAAGAAGCUGCCCUGGUGGGCCAGGAAUGAAGAUGCCAAGGGUCUGAGCUUGGCUGGUAGCAGCAGAGAUGGGAAGGAAGUGGGGAGGGGCUUGUACGACAUUAAGAGCCAGGAGCCAGGGUGUGAUCAUUAAUUUUCCGCAGCAAUUUGAAUGGGCUCAGGGGUGCCCCGACAGCUGGUGAAACCUUUUGGGUGUGUCUGUGAGGGUGUCUCUAGAAGAGACUAGCAUUUGAAACUGCGGACCAAGGAAAGAAGAUCCCUCUCACCAACACGGGUGGGCGAACUUUCUUUUACUUGAACUGGGACAUCUGUUUUCUCCUGCUCCUGGACAUUGGUGCUCCUGGUUCUUGGACCUUUGGACUCCAACUAGGACUUAAACCAUUGGCCCCCUGAUGCUCAGGCCUUUGGACCUGGACUGAUUACACCACUGGCUUUCCUGGUUCUCUAGCUUGCAGGUGGCAGAUUUUGGGACUUCUUGACCCAUAAUUCCUGUAAUUCCUGUCAUCUCCUCUCUGUAUGUCCAUCUAGAUCCUACUGCUUCUAUUUCUCUGGAGAACGCUGAGUGAUACUCAGAGGUAUCACCUGAGUUGGCUCAAGGCUUGCAGAGUGGCUCUGUUUGCAUGAGGAUGGAGCCUCGAUACUGAUGCUGAGCUAUGGAGGGACCUAAGGGAGCUGGAUUUGGAAUUCUCAGUGCAUGAGUGACUGAGUGGAUGGAUGGACAGAUGAAUUUUCAUAGAAGGAUCUGGGCUUUUAGAUUUAGGCUGAAUUCCUUGAAAAGCCUAAUUAGGUCCUGAGGUUGGAUAGGUAUUUCUCAUUCUCUUCCCCUGACUUCAGGGAGGGGUAAGGCCUUUCUAAGAGCUGGACCAUUUCUAUGUGACUCCUUGGUCACUUGGAUCUUUUUAUGUUCUAACUAUGAGAAACCCCUUUGGAUGGCUUAGGCAAUAAAAAGAUUGAUUUAAGGCACACGUAAUUAGAAGAUCUUCUGAGUUGGUUCCAGCUGAAGCCUUACCAACGGCAUCAAACACCUGGUCAUCUCUCAAGUGUUGUGUUCUGCUCUGCGUACAUCAGUUUGGCUUCCCAUGGUGGCAAAAUGGAGGCAGCAGUUCCAGGUUUUACCUCUACCUUACCUAGAGGAAGACAGUUUUUUUCCCCCUAGAAGUUCCCUGAAGAAUUUCCCCUCAAUCCUCAUU